UACAGAGGGGGCAAGCGUUGUUCGGAAUUACUGGGGGUAAAGGGCGCGUAGGCGGCCUGUUAAGUCGAACGUGAAAUCCCCGGGCUCAACCCGGGAACUGCGUCCGAUACUGGCAGGCUUGAAUCCGGGAGAGGGAUGCGGAAUUCCAGGUGUAGCGGUGAAAUGCGUAGAUAUCUGGAGGAACACCGGUGGCGAAGGCGGCAUCCUGGACCGGCAUUGACGCUGAGGCGCGAAAGCCAGGGGAGCAAACGGG
rnacentral:rRNA from 1 species